AGUGAACGCUGGCGGUAGGCCUAACACAUGCAAGUCGAACGGCAGCACAGUAAGGGCUUGCUCUUACGGGUGGCGAGUGGCGGACGGGUGAGGAAUACAUCGGAAUCUACUUUUUCGUGGGGGAUAACGUAGGGAAACUUACGCUAAUACCGCAUAUGACCUACGGGUGAAAGCAGGGGAUCUUCGGACCUUGCGCGAUUGAAUGAGCCGAUGUCGGAUUAGCUAGUUGGCGGGGUAAAGGCCCACCAAGGCGACGAUCCGUAGCUGGUCUGAGAGGAUGAUCAGCCACACUGGAACUGAGACACGGUCCAGACUCCUACGGGAGGCAGCAGUGGGGAAUAUUGGACAAUGGGCGCAAGCCUGAUCCAGCCAUACCGCGUGGGUGAAGAAGGCCUUCGGGUUGUAAAGCCCUUUUGUUGGGAAAGAAAAGCAGCAGGUUAAUACCCCGCUGUUCUGACGGUACCCAAAGAAUAAGCACCGGCUAACUUCGUG
rnacentral:rRNA from 1 species